rnacentral:lncRNA from 1 species
UUGCUCUUCAGCCUCCACCACUAAGUCAGGGCCAUAAACUUGUCUCUCUCCCGCUUGGGACCAGUUCAAUGGUGUCCUGCAUCUUCGUCCAUACAAUGCUUCAAACGGUGCCAUAUUCAAGCUGGUUUGGUAGCUAUUGUUGUAGGAGAAUUCUGCCAAUGGCAUGCACUUGUCCCAUUCAAAAAGAAAGCAAGGAGAGAGAAGGAUCAUACAAAAAGGAGUCCAUACA